AGGGUUCGAUUAUGGCUCAGGAUGAACGCUGGCGGCGUGCUUAACACAUGCAAGUCGAACGGGAUCCCAGGAGCUUGCUCCUGGGUGAGAGUGGCGAACGGGUGAGUAAUGCGUGACCGACCUGCCUUCAAGAGGGGGAUAACAUUCUGAAAAGAAUGCUAAUACCGCAUGACAUAUCGGAACCACAUGGUUUUGAUAUCAAAGAUUUUAUCGCUUGAAGAUGGACUCGCGUCCGAUUAGUUAGUUGGUGAGGUAACGGCUCACCAAGACCGCGAUCGGUAGCCGGACUGAGAGGUUGAACGGCCACAUUGGGACUGAGACACGGCCCAG
rnacentral:rRNA from 1 species